rnacentral:rRNA from 1 species
GAUAAACGCUAGCGGCAGACUUAACACAUGCAAGUCGAGGAGCAGCAUAGAUUGUAGCAAUACAAUUGGUGGCGACCGGCGCACGGAUGCGUAACGCGUAUGCAACCUACCCGUCACAGGGGGAUAAUCCGGAGAAAUCUGGUCUAAUACCCCAUAACAUAUGGAUCGGCAUCGGUUCAUGUUGAAAUUUUCGGAGGUGACGGAUGGGCAUGCGUAGCAUUAGCUUGUUGGUGAGGUAACGGCUCACCAAGGCGACGAUGCUUAGGGGGACUGAGAGGUUUUCCCCCCACACUGGUACUGAGACACGGACCGGACUCCUACGGGAGGCAGCAGUGAGGAAUAUUGGUCAAUGGGCGCAAGUCUGAACCAGCCAUGCCGCGUGCAGGAUGACGGCUCUAUGAGUUGUAAACUGCUUUUGUACGAGGGUAAAGUGGGUUACGUGUAACCUUUUGAAAGUAUCGUACGAAUAAGGAUCGGCUAACUCCGUGCCAGCCGCCGCGGUAA